GCGUGAGUGAAGAAGGGUUUCGGCUCGUAAAACUCUGUUGUUAAAGAAGAACAUAUCUGAGAGUAACUGUUCAGGUAUUGACGGUAUUUAACCAGAAAGCCACGGCUAAUACGUGCCGCAGCCGCGGUAAUACGUAGGUGGCAGCGUUGUCCGGAUUUAUUGGGCGUAAGCGAGCGCAGGCGGUUUUUUAAGUCUGAUGUGAAGCCUUCGGCUCAACCGAAGAAGUGCAUCGGAAACUGGGAAACUUGAGUGCAGAAGAGGACAGUGGAACUCCAUGUGUAGCGGUGAAAUGCGUAGAUAUAUGGAAGAACACCAGUGGCGAAGGCGGCUGUCUGGUCUGUAACUGACGCUGAGGCUCGAAAGUAUGGGUAGCAAACAGGAUUARAUACCCUGGUAGUCCAUACCGUAAACGAUGAAUGCUAAGUGUUGGAGGGUUUCCGCCCUUCAGUGCUGCAGCUAACGCAUUAAGCAUUCCKCCUSGGGAGUACRGCCGCAASGCUGAAACUCAAAGGAAUUGACGGGGGCCCGCACAAGCGGUGGAGCAUGUGGUUUAAUUCGAAGCUACGCGAAGAACCUUACCAGGUCUUGACAUACUAUGCAAAUCUAAGAGAUUAGACGUUCCCUUCGGGGACAUGGAUACAGGUGGUGCAUGGUUGUCGUCAGCUCGUGUCGUGAGAUGUUGGGUUAAGUCCCGCAACGAGCGCAACCCUUAUUAUCAGUUGCCAGCAUUAAGUUGGGCACUCUGGUGAGACUGCCGGUGACAAACCGGAGGAAGGUGGGGAUGACGUCAAAUCAUCAUGCCCCUUAUGACCUGGGCUACACACGUGCUACAAUGGAUGGUACAACGAGUUGCGAACUCGCGAGAGUAAGCUAAUCUCUUAAAGCCAUUCUCAGUUCGGAUUGUAGGCUGCAACUCGCCUACAUGAAGUCGGAAUCGCUAGUAAUCGCGGAUCAGCAUGCCGCGGUGAAUACGUUCCCGGGCCUUGUACACACCGCCCGUCACACCAUGAGAGUUUGUAA
rnacentral:rRNA from 1 species